UUUUAUAUACAAGUUUUGAAUUGUUGUCCAGAUUGGGCAACUUAGAGCAGCUAGACCUAAGUUCGAAUCUGUUAAACAGAAGCGUUCUACCAUAUUUGGGUGCACUCUCCUCCCUCAAGAGCCUUGAUCUAAGUGAGAAUAAUUUGGAAGGAUGCUUCCCCUCCAAAGAAUUGGCCAACCUGAGCAAAUUGGAGGUUUUGGAUUUGAGAGAUAAUCAACUCAAUGCUUUCCUAUGGCCGCAAGGUAAGAGCACUUGGAUCUUUUCUAAUAAAUGCUGGAGUUGAGUGUCUUUCACAUGCACCUCGAAAUGGCAUUUGAAAAUUCACAUGCUGAGAUAUGCUUUUCAUGACAUUAUUCUUGCCACCACUAGUACGAAAAUAUAUUGCAUCUUUGUGUGAUAAUAAUCUUUAACUUUGAAAAUGAUGAUUGUACCUUUUCAUGGAGGAUUUUGAUAAUAUUUUACCCUCCUUGCUAUGAUUUUUGCUCUCGUUAUCCUUAAUGAAGAGGUGUUAAAGCAGGA